CCUACGGGUGGCAGCAGUGGGGAAUAUUGGACAAUGGGCGAAAGCCUGAUCCAGUCAUGCCGCGUGUGUGAAGAAGGCCUUCGGGUUGUAAAGCACUUUCAGUGGGGAAGAAAGCCUUGGGGCUAAUACCCUCGAGGAAGGACAUCACCCACAGAAGAAGCACCGGCUAACUCCGUGCCAGCAGCCGCGGUAAUACGGAGGGUGCGAGCGUUAAUCGGAAUUACUGGGCGUAAAGCGCGCGUAGGCGGUCUGAUAAGCCGGUUGUGAAAGCCCCGGGCUCAACCUGGGAACGGCAUCCGGAACUGUCAGGCUAGAGUGCAGGAGAGGAAGGUAGAAUUCCCGGUGUAGCGGUGAAAUGCGUAGAGAUCGGGAGGAAUACCAGUGGCGAAGGCGGCCUUCUGGACUGACACUGACGCUGAGGUGCGAAAGCGUGGGUAGCAAACAGGAUUAGAUACCCGAGUAGUC
rnacentral:rRNA from 1 species